rnacentral:rRNA from 1 species
UACGGAAGGCAGCAGUGGGGAAUAUUGCACAAUGGGCGCAAGCCUGAUGCAGCCAUGCCGCGUGUAUGAAGAAGGCCUUCGGGUUGUAAAGUACUUUCAGUCGUGAGGAAGGUGUUAAGGUUAAUAACCUUAGCAAUUGACGUUAGCGACAGAAGAAGCACCGGCUAACUCCGUGCCAGCAGCCGCGGUAAUACGGAGGGUGCGAGCGUUAAUCGGAAUUACUGGGCGUAAAGGGCACGCAGGCGGUUAAUUAAGUUGGAUGUGAAAUCCCCGGGCUUAACCUGGGAAUGGCAUUCAAGACUGGUUAGCUAGAGUCUUGUAGAGGGGGUAGAAUUCCAUGUGUAGCGGUGAAAUGCGUAGAGAUGCGGAGGAAUACCGGUGGCGAAAGGCGGCCCCUGGACAAAGGACUGACGCUCAUGUGCGAAAAGCGUGGGGAGCAAAACAGGGAUUAGAUACC